rnacentral:rRNA from 1 species
CGUAGGGGGCAAGCGUUGUCCGGAUUUACUGGGUGUAAAGGGUGCUCAGGUGGCUAGGUAAGUCAGCGGUGAAAUCUUAGAGCUCAACUCUGAAACUGCCGUUGAUACUAUUUAGCUUGAGUAUGGAAGAGGUUGAUGGAAUUUCAGGUGUAGCAGUGAAAUGCGUAGAUAUCUGAAAGAACACCAGUGGCGAAGGCGGUCAACUGGUCCAUUACUGACACUAAAGCACGAAAGCGUGGGUAGCGAACAGGAUUAGAUACCCUGGUAGUCCACGCCCUAAACGAUGAAUACUAGACGUUGGGUGCAAAAGCUCAGUGUCGCAGCUAACGCAUUAAGUAUUCCACCUGGGGAGUACGAUCGCAAGGUUG